UUUAUAAUUUUAUAAUUGCUGAUCUUGCUGUCCUGUACGUCGCAAUUAAGUCCAGAAUGUUCAAGCGGUAGCCUCGUGUUGACUCCAGGUGGUAGAAUUUACUUGAUGGUAGCGGUCGUUGUACUAUAACUUGCGUGCUCAAUGGGGCCCAUGUCUGGAAACAUCGCAGGCCACUCCAAAUCGUGUAAAAUUAAAAAACAAACAUUAAAAAACAUAAAAACAAACUGAUAUAUAAUAUUUUUCAAACAAUUAAUAUGCUUCUUUUGUUACAGAAACGAAACAAGAGCUGGAAGACCUAAUGGCCGAUAUCAAGAAAACUGCCAAUAAAGUCCGUGCCAAGCUAAAGGUUAUAGAACAAAAUAUAGAACAAGAAGAACAAAAUAAUAAAUCAUCGGCGGAUCUGAGGAUACGAAAAACUCAACAUUCGACGUUAUCCAGAAAAUUUGUAGAAGUUAUGACUGAAUAUAAUCGAACCCAGACAGACUACAGAGAAAGAUGUAAAGGGAGGAUACAGAGGCAAUUAGAAAUCACUGGUAGGCAAACAACCAAUGAAGAAUUAGAAGAGAUGUUAGAACAAGGAAAUCCAGCAGUGUUCACCCAAGGUAUUAUAAUGGAAACGCAACAAGCAAAACAGACAUUAGCCGAUAUCGAAGCCAGACACGCCGAUAUCAUCAAGUUAGAAAAUUCAAUUAGAGAAUUGCACGACAUGUUCAUGGACAUGGCGAUGUUGGUAGAGAAUCAGGGCGAAAUGAUCGAUCGCAUCGAAUACCAUGUUGAACACGCAGUGGAUUACGUACAAACGGCCACCCAAGACACUAAAAAGGCUUUACGGUACCAAAGCCGUGCCAGACGGAAACUAAUCUACAUCAUAAUCUUCAUUAUAAUACUAAUUAUUAUUGUAGCGAUAAUAUUAAUAGUCAAACUAAAAAGAUCUUCAUCAUAAUCUGCCUCGUAGUAGCUCUCAUCAUUCUAAUAAUAAUAUUAUCGGUAACAUUGAAAUGAACACAGUUCAUAAUGUUACAAUAUAUUAAUGGUAUAAAGAAUAAUGUGCCCUUUCCUGUUUUUGUUUUGUUGUGGACUUUUGGAUUUUUUUUAACCACCACCCAGUACCAGUAGAUUGUUGCUGCCCAAACCAUCCUCAACAUUUCCAGACGACCACGUUUUUAGUUUGAAUUUAUGUUCAGUUCGUUUGAGAUUAAAAUUUUAUUCUCUAAAAUAUUUAUAUUAUACCGAUCUGUAACUAGCGUUUUUAAAAAAGUAUACAUAGAUUAUACAAAUGAAAAAAAGUGUCCCGCGAGGAUGCGAUCCUCGGGACAUGCGAAAAAUAUAAUUAAAUAGCUGAGGGUAGUGUAUUAAUAUGAAUUUAAGCAAUAAAAAUGGUUGGUAUACUGAAAUAUAGCAAGAUAGAGUGGACUUCAAGAUGAGUAGGUGCCAAAUAUUAUGUAAUAAUUUUGUCUUGGUGAAAUAUGUCUAUAACCCUCUUGAAAUACUUUUAAACACUUUUUAAAAUACAGACUUUAGAGAUUUCUGAUAUUUUGGCACUUGCUGUCUUUGAUUCUGUCCAGAUAUGUAUUACACCAUGGGGUUAAAUCACUUAAUAAUAUUAGCUAGUAUUUCGCAUUUACUGUUUGAUUUUUGUUUAAUAUUUUUUAAAUCUCUACUUUUGAUAUAAGUUUAUAUAUCUGUCUAUAUUUUAAAAUAAAUAAAAAGUUAAUAAAAAGAAAUAAAAAUUAAAAUAAUCUUUUUCUAAUUAUCUGUGGGUAUGUAGGGCCUGACUAUAUGAGAUCAAAAUAUGGGAUACAGGUGAUGCAGAAUGAAUCGCUUCUUACGGAGAGUUUAAAAAUUAUUUUUUUAGUUAACUAAAGUUGGUGAAUCAAUAAAUUAAAAAACUUUUCUUCAGAAGAUUAAAUGUUGUAAAAUAAAAAAAUAAACUGUAUAAUUAAAAGUUAAUAGAAGAGAAUAGAAUAAAUGGGUAGAAAGAAGUAAGAAAUAAUAUCAUCUACAUAAAAUGUCUAAAAUACAUAAAAUGUGUUUUACUGUUUCUUUUAACUUAAUAUUCUAACUCGAUUUCCUCUGUUUUGUAACUAAAAUGUUCAUUGGAGAGGUUUUUUGGUACCGAAAAUAUCUAUCAUAGGAUAUGAUAAUUUUUUAGCUACCUCGUACUUAGUCCAUUAUUAUUUUCUGUAGCUAUAUUAAACCGUAGAAGAUGCUCUCUGGCGGUCAUUCUGUUUACCUCUCACUGUAGACUGCUUGGAUUGGCAGAUGACCUAAGGUGUCGUCUAUGUGUUGAGGAGGGGGAAACCUUCCCACGUACUCUUAGGAAGUGCCCAGGACUGGCCCAACAAAGGUGGCAGAUCCUGGAUUCGACUUUUAUGCAACUGAGCCAAAUGAAGGAGUUACCCCAAGAGAGACUUGUGGCUUUAUGUGAGAUCACAAGCUUACUAAACUAAACGAUUACACGUUCAGAACGGCACGAAGAGCUCAGAUUUGAAGCCCCUGUUGAUUCUAGCAGAUAUGAGAGGCCGGGAUAGCCUAGGCCCAGAAGAGCCAACGACCAGAUCCUUAUUGGCGUAGUCGGUAUGAUAAGUGUGAUUUAAUGAACCCGCCUUGGGAAGUCUAAUCUGAAUGGCCCCCAAAUGAGCCCUGCCAUAAGUUACCGGAACUAUGACCAUGCAUUUCUUUGUGUGGGCUUACCUUUCUACGCACUUCUACUCAGCCUAGGAGGUCUAUUGUGGCUCAUCCCUAGAUAAAAGUUGUCCUUUCAGUCCAGCCUUUUUAAGUCUAUGUGUAUUAUAUGCUUCGGUGAUACUUCCAGGAAGUCGUAAGGUUCUAGUUGAUAAUGCUCAUGUAAUGAGCCAUAUCCUAUCCAACCCUGGGCUGUGACACAGAACGUGUUCCGCCGUUUCGUCUUUAGUCUGACAGAAUCUGGUAUGUACAAAUAUGGUUGUUGACAGUAAAUCAUGUGACAGUUUGAAACAGUUAAAACAGCAGUGAAAAGUGAGUGCUGUGUAUCACAGUACAACGAAAGAGUAAUCGUAUUCUGGUAAAGAAAGUGGUUUAUUAGUUUUCUCUUCUUUCCCAUUUUUGUUGAGGAAUUGUUCAUUGUAUGACUCUCUCUUUUAAAAGAAUGUGUUGAUAAUCGCCAUAUUUAAUGCUGUUGCUAUUUCCAGAUUAUCAACUCCAGUGUAUUCUCUCCAACAUAUCCUGUCUUGGAUUGGUUCACAUGUGCAUUAAAAUCACCUCCUAAUGUGACCCUUUCUUCUGAUGUAAUGUAACUCAGUAUGUCUCUUAAUUAUUGAUCUGAGAAAGCUUUUCUAUCAUUCUCAUCCAGGCCGACUUGGAGCAUACACAUACUCACAACAUUCAACACUUCUUUAUCAAGUAUUUUCACAGUCAUUAUUCUAUCGCUUGUUCUUUCAAUUUCUACGAUACUGUUCAUUUAUUCAUGGGAAAGUAUUCCAUUUCCAAUAACUCCAUUUCUAGUGUUAAUUUUACAUACCACACAUACAUUACCUACGUACAAUUUUUAUCCCUCACCUAGUUGUGUUGCUCUUUUUCGUUUCCACUUGGUAAUAAUUUAUACUCUCCUUCUUUUAAACGCAACUAUUAACUAAAUUCUCUUAUCUGUAAGAAUUCCUGGAUUCCAAGACCCUAUGCUGAUUUUUCUAACCUGUAAAUAGUUUUCACCCGAAAAUAGAACAGAGGCUCAAUUUGCUUGCGGAACAUUUUACUUCAGAAGAUGCCAUAAUUUUUGUUAUAUUGGAGGUUUUAUCAUUAUUAUGAUCACUAAAGCUUUGCAGACAUUAUUUGAUGUCUGAAUAUCUUUAAUAUCUUUUGUGUCUGCAUCAUGUCCUAGACGUUUGACCGAAUCUAUCUAAAGUACAGUAUUAACCAAGACACGCUUACAUUUUUCUGUAUAGACCAGGAUUCCUACUGUAAGGCCUACCUAUAGAAGCCAAUGAAUUUGCCCAUAUCCCACUACUAGGGUUUAGAGAUUGUAUAUGGGAUACAUGCAUUCUCUCUAUCUAAAUAUCUACUUUAAAUAGUCUCUUUACUAAGAAUAAAUUAGAGAAGUAAUAACAAAUAUUAGUAACUGUUAAAAUAGAAAUAUUAACGUAGAAUAGUAUAAGAAACUGAUAAAUUUAAUAAAAACCCUAAAUUACUAAAUUAGAGUGAGAUGCACAAAUAAGUGAAAGAUAAGUUUCCAAUGUUAAACUAUAUAAUAGUGUAAAAGACAGAUAAUUAGAUAAUUAUCAGAUGUGUAGUACUUACGUUUAUUCAUAUGUAGUACUUUCGAAACAUAUCUACUACAACAUGAAGCGUUGUUUUAAAGUAACGCCUAGUAUCCCUAUAUUUUAAUCUCACAAAAAUAAUAUAAGUAGUUUGUGUUUAAACAGAGUUAGAGAAUAUAUAAAAGAAUAAAUUUAUUUAUAAAAAAUAUAUUAU
rnacentral:misc_RNA from 1 species